CAGUCGCCGCGGUAAUACGUAGGUGGCAAGCGUUGUCCGGAAUUAUUGGGCGUAAAGGGCUCGCAGGCGGUUUCUUAAGUCUGAUGUGAAAGCCCCCGGCUCAACCGGGGAGGGUCAUUGGAAACUGGGAAACUUGAGUGCAGAAGAGGAGAGUGGAAUUCCACGUGUAGCGGUGAAAUGCGUAGAGAUGUGGAGGAACACCAGUGGCGAAGGCGACUCUCUGGUCUGUAACUGACGCUGAGGAGCGAAAGCGUGGGGAGCGAACAGGAUUAGAUACCCGAGUAGUCCCUGUCUCUUAUAC
rnacentral:rRNA from 1 species